CAGCAGCCGCGGUAAUACGGAGGAUCCAAGCGUUAUCCGGAAUCAUUGGGUUUAAAGGGUCCGUAGGCGGUCUUGUAAGUCAGUGGUGAAAGCCCAUCGCUCAACGGUGGAACGGCCAUUGAUACUGCAGGACUUGAAUUAUUGGGAAGUAACUAGAAUAUGUAGUGUAGCGGUGAAAUGCUUAGAGAUUACAUGGAAUACCAAUUGCGAAGGCAGGUUACUACCAAUUGAUUGACGCUGAUGGACGAAAGCGUGGGUAGCGAACAGGAUUAGAUACCCCUGUAGUCCCUGUCUCUUAUAC
rnacentral:rRNA from 1 species